GACCUCCAGCCAAGGCAGGUAGAGAGGUGGUUUCGAUGCCGCCUGAAUCAGGACCGGCCCAACUUGACCAAGAAAUUCUCUGAAGCCAGCUGGAGAGGCAUCUACUAUGUUAUUUCCUUCUGCACGGGGUUGGCUGUCCUUUAUGAUAAACCCUGGUUCUGGGAUCUCCGCCAAUGUUGGGUUGGGUAUCCACAGCAGGUAAGGA